rnacentral:pre_miRNA from 15 species
CAGAAUACUAGUCUAAAGGUUGCUUCAGUGAACAUUCAACGCUGUCGGUGAGUUUGGAAUUAAGAUCAAAACCAUUGACCGUUGAUUGUACCCUGUGGCUAACCCUUAUCUGCACCGUGGCU